GGGGCUAUAGCUCAGUAGGGAGAGCGCUACACUGGCAGUGUAGAGGUCAGCGGUUCGAACCCGCUUAGCUCCACCA
rnacentral:tRNA from 1 species